AACGAACGCUGGCGGCAUGCCUAACACAUGCAAGUCGAACGAGACCUUCGGGUCUAGUGGCGCACGGGUGCGUAACGCGUGGGAACCUGCCCUUAGGUUCGGAAUAACUCCCCGAAAGGGGUGCUAAUACCGGAUAAUGUCUUCGGACCAAAGAUUUAUCGCCUUUGGAUGGGCCCGCGUUGGAUUAGCUAGUUGGUAGGGUAAAAGCCUACCAAGGCGACGAUCCAUAGCUGGUCUGAGAGGAUGCUCAGCCACGCUGGGACUGAGACACGGCCCAGACUCCUACGGGAGGCAGCAGUGGGGAAUAUUAGACAAUGGGCGAAAGCGUGAUCCAGCAAUGCCGCGGGAGUGAUGAAGGCCUUAGGGUUGUAAAGCUCUUUUACCCGGGAUGAUAAUGACAGUACCGGGAGAAUAAGCUCCGGCUAACUCCGUG
rnacentral:rRNA from 1 species